rnacentral:lncRNA from 1 species
AUGGAGGCGUUAAUAAAGGUAGUUGCGUUUCUAGCUAAGGAAUGGGGAGCUUCUGUGAAGCCGAAGGAUAUUACACUAUGUGUAGAGCGGCUCCAGAAAGAAGGAGCCAUAAAUAGGCCGGGGGACUGCUUGCAGCCGGAAUUCUGGCCGCAAUGUGCUACGGUGCUGGCGGAGCAAGCUAUGUCCACAAACACGGCCAAAGAUCUCAAGACGUGGGGAAUUAUACUCUGUUUUCUGAGGCGGUCGUGGGAAGAAAUGGAGACUUGGAAGGUCGCCCGCAACGCGUUGUUUCAUCAGGAGGAGGCUGAGACGGAAACGGAGGAGAAGUCUAGCGAUGGGGGAGCGAAAGAAUGGGAGAGCGGGGGUGGGGAGGCCCCAGCGAAAGAACGGGAGAGCGGGGGCGGGGAGGCCCCAGCAAAAGAACGGGAGAGCGGAGGCGGGGAGGUCCCAGUGAUCCUACCGGUGGAAUCCCAGGAACCGCCUCCGGUGUACCCCUGGCAAGAUCUCACACAAGCCGGAGAGGGCUGGGGGGUCGACGGGACCGACCCCGAGGAUUGCGUGCCUGGCGCAGUUCUGAGGAAGGUACUUAGUGAGGAAGAUAAGAUCCUGCUGCCGUGGGCCCCGGUAGAGGAGGGGGCUGUAGGCGGGGAGAGUCAGGCACUGCAGCGAAGGAGGAAGGGUAGCGGCCAAUCGGAGCGGAGAGACCAGAGUACGACCUUGAAAGGAGGAAGGAAAGUCCGAGUGAGAUCGCCAGUUAAGGAGGAGAGCAGAGAAGAUAGUGACGAGGAAGGCGGGGGCUUGCGGGAAGUUACGUGCAGGCUGCAGGGAUGUGUAAUAGGAGAGACGCAGCCGAAAGGGAGGCCGAAGGGCGGAGAGGAAGUAACAACAUCCCCGGUCGACACCCUAUUGCAUGCAUUAGAGGAAAUAAGGCGGGAGGUCAUGGCCACAACAGAGGCUUCGCGGGCCGCGUAUGAGGAACUCGGGAAGCUAGUAAAGGUAGAGCCACCCUGGACAAAGAUAAAACAGACACACGCAGAGAGCUUCACUGAAUUCUGUGACAGGCUCCAACGGGCCAUUGCAGAGUCAGACUUGCCCMCUGAGGCCCAGGGUCCGGUCAUGAUGGAGUGCCUCUGGCAGCAGAGUAACGCCAUGAUGCAGGACAUCAUGAAAAUGAUCCCUAAAGGAACACCACUUUCGGUUGUCAUCCACACGGUACUGGAAAAACAGAACCAGGGAACAGCGGCAGCGCAGGCCCUUGUCGCGGCGGUGGACCAGAUGAGAAAGGGACCACAGCGAUGCUUCUCUUGUGGCAGAUUAGGGCAUAUUAGCGCACACUGUCAGCAGCCGGGCCGGCCGAUCCCGUGGCAAGGCCGGGGGCCAUGCUSGGCUUGUGGGCAGUACGGGCAUGUAGCCCAAGAGUGUCCCCAAAAUCAACAGCGGAAACUGCCGGGAAACGGGGGGCGGGGGGGACUUCGCAAAGGGGCGUCCCUCCUGAAGAUCUUGGCCCCGCGCAGGAGUGUGACCGGAGUUGGCCCGACAGUGGCAGCGGUUCAAGAGGAAGACGUCCCAACGUGGCCCUGGCAGUAAAAUUAGGUGAUCGCCCGGUGGUGCGGGCGACGCUGAGCUUGGGAGGACGCAGCGACGAGGGGAGGAGGAUAGUAACCAUGCUGGUGGACUCCGGAGCGGACGUGACAUGCAUAGCGCACGCCCAGUGGCCUGAGAGCUGGCCCUUGAUGAAUGCUGGUUAUAUAACCGGUGUUGGAGGAAUGGCUAGUACGUACAGGAGUGUGAUGCUGGUGGAGAUCUGCGUGCAGGACGACGACGGCGACGAGCUGAUAGCUCGGGUCCGGCCGUACGUCACGCACAUCCCUGACUCGCUGUUAGGCCGAGAUGCCAUGGCGCAAAUGAGGCUCAAGCUCACAAAUUUAGUAUGAGGGCCACUGCUGGAGGCGGCGUGAGGAUCACCUGGAAGACAGAAGAACCUGUGUGGAUAGAGCAGUGGCCCCUUAC